rnacentral:RNase_P_RNA from 1 species
UGCAGCCAAAGGCCGCGACGCCCGCCUCGUACAGGAUUUCUGCCAUCCACAUCUGCGGGCAAGGUCUGAGACCAUAUUCCCCUCAAUUGGCUCUUGCUGGGUCCCAUCGUCACGAUGGAGCGACGCACCAGAAAUCCAUCCCGCUGUGCUUUUACCCCGGAGAUGUUCUGCAGAGGGGUGCACAUGCGGUGUUGAUAUGCGUUGCGGGGAUUGGAUGAUUUGUAUUCCGUCUGUGAUGACGGCCGCUCUAUCGCGUUUCUGAGAUGUUCUCUUCGAGAGCUCUUGAAGGGCUUGUACGCUGCUCCCUGUCUCGCUGGGGACGGUGUCCGUGAUUGAAAGGUAGGACGUCCUACACUACUUGUCCUGGGAUUUCGUCUUCCAAAUAGACAUUGCGAGUUGCUCGUGUUCGCGGACGAUUCUAGUCAUCGUCUCGUUAUCGGUCCGGUCAGGAGUCUCUUCGAGAGAUUCUCAGGAAAUUCCUGGCUGCGAAUUGGCACUGCGAUGUGGUGGGAUUGUCCCGGGCUGGGGUUCCUAGAGGAAUGUCUGGAGGACGUAGCCCAAUGAUGGAUAAAGUAGGACAUCUUGAGAAGCUUUUGCACUCGGUGCACGUCCUAGGCAGCCAGAGCAAAGGACUGUGUGGCAACCUCUCAUGAGAGACCACGAGGAGUUGGUAUGUUGCAGGUGCUUGCAAAUGAUUGUCCUUCAGUGUACUUCGCGGCUCGUAUGCACGAGUGCAUGACGAAACUCGACUCAGACUACUCUUGGGCUGCA